CGCACGUCAGACGGACUACUUGUUUCUAUUUCUCUCAGGAAAGAAACAGAAGUUUCGAGUACCCCUUCUAAAGAUCAAGGUCGCUACACACGGUGGAAAUCUCUCGGUCUCUCUCCCAACGCGAGAGGCGGUUUCCAGGCGGGCUGCCUCCACUGGUCUCCAUCGCCUCCGGUAAGCCGUCGGGCUCUCGGAGGUGUGCGGGACAGUGUACGACCGCGAGGCGGUUGUAGAUAAUGUUGUUUUAGAAUUUUAUUCUGGCACUGGCGGGCAGGUAGGGGCGACGUCAACGCUGUGGGAUAAGGUUCCCCCUGGCUCCUUUCCCGUCUCCGCGGUGAUCCCUCCGGCCGGUGGCACUGCGGGGUUAGGGAGGUUGGCCUCUCUCUUAUCCGGCGAGGUUUGGUCGGUGAUGGGGGUGCACAAUAGUAUAGAAGUUGGGAUUUGUGGAGAGGGAUUCCCAGAUCAGGUCGCCUCGGACGGCCGACAGCUGCGCACUGUUGCGGGCGAAGUGGUUUGAGUUGCGGCUCCACUCCGUCAUAGGCUGCCGCUGGUCAAGGGAUCACUUGGUCUACCCCAGGCCGAUGCACCAGAACCCUCCCUGGUUCCGUCUUUUGGGGAGGGACUUAUAUGCGGCUCACAAAGCCAUGGAUUGGCGAUGCUGCUCCUCAUGCCCGUUGUCUUGUGGAUGACGGCUAGCACCGGCGAGUGCAGAGAUCAGCGUGCCUGGGUGAAUAAGGAAGAUGAACUGGGCUGUAAGUUACUUUGUUUUCUCUGUCGGCGUUAUUCCCUUUAGUGUUAUCUCUGCCUCUCUAGUUCUCAACCUCCAACGACAUGCCCUUUUUUGUGCUGGCCAUGGAGGCUAGCAGCGGCAGGACUGCCAUGACUAGGCCGCGCAAUAUUUCUAACAGUGUUGAGCUACUCGUUCCCGACAGCUCCGGUGCCAAGCUGCCAAGCAGAUUUCAGGAUAUAGAAGGCAGCUUCAGGAAGGGGUCGCUGACGAGAGAAAUAAGUACUGAAGCAGGCUUCACCGAAGACUACUGAUCUAGAAUUGUUUGUUGCUGAAAUAAGUCCAGGAGCGGUGGAGCAGGCUGAACAAUUUUCUGUUGAUUUUACUGAAUGGAUUGUCCCUGUAAUUUGACCAAACGUCAUGUCGCCGUGCCACUGAAGUUUUUGCACAGAAUUCUUGUCUUUUUGGGUGGUGCCAAGCUGUCUUUUUGUUGAACAAUGCCACAAUUGCAUAGUUGUAAGUUAUUUAGGAUUGUCUCUAUUGCAUACGACCUGGAGUUACAAGAGGUCCAGUACUAAUUUUGUGUAUGUAUGUACAUGUGCAGUCACCCAUUUUCUAUACACAAGAUUCCAA
rnacentral:rRNA from 1 species